UAGAGAUGUCCUUGACUUGCCAAGAAGUUAGCAAAGCAGUCCUGCACCUGCCAUACUGGACAGCAUUCUCCCAACAGAACCCAACAUAAGGCCCACAGUCAUUCGCAAAAGCUUUCCACAUCUUGAGUAAACAGUCUGUGAGACUGAGGAACUAAUUCACCAACAAUGAGCAGUAUUCUUACAUCACAGAAUGUUAGCGGUUGGAAGGGCCCUCAAAAGAUCAUCUACUCCAAACCCUCUGCCACUGCAGGGUUACCUAGAGUAGGUCACACAGGAGGGCAUCCAGGUGAGUUUUGAAUGUCUCCGUAGAAGGAGACUCCACAACCUCUCUGGGCAGCCUGUUCCAGUAUUCUCUCACCUUUACACUGUACAGAAUUUUUUCCUUAUGUUUACAUGGAGCCUGCUACGCUCCAGCUUGCACCUCCUUGUCCUACCAUUGUAUAGCUUCAGCUGGGAAUGCUACAACACUGCAAUAAAGGGCAACUGAGAAGACUUCUGAGAUUCUCUGCCCUUUGCGUUUCUCGAAUUCCCUUGCUAGAGCAGCAAUGGGGUUUGUGCCUCAUUCAUCACCCAAAUGGCCCUUGCAUUAAGAGGUUACAACAGGUACCUUUGUUCCUGUAAGUUGUUAUCCCUCUACCUUAAAAUGGAUCUGGAAUUGUAUACACUUAAUUUCAGAAUUUUUUUUUUAAAGCAACACCUUAUUGAUGGGAUUCUGAGACCUCAGGAAACUUAGUAUUUAAAAGGUUAACAUCUACUUUUUAUUCUUGCAUUAUAUGCAGAAAAUACACCAGAACAAUGCUGUGUUAAUAAAGACAAGCUUAAAAGCUGCUUCAAA